rnacentral:rRNA from 1 species
GACGAACGCUGGCGGCGUGCUUAACACAUGCAAGUCGAACGGAAAGGCCCUGCUUUUGUGGGGUGCCCGAGUGGCGAACGGGUGAGUAACACGUGAGUAACCUGCCCUUGACUUUGGGAUAACUUCAGGAAACUGGGGCUAAUACCGGAUAGCAGCUCCUGCUGCAUGGUGGGGGUUGGAAAGUUUCGGCGGUUGGGGAUGGACUCGCGGCUUAUCAGCUUGUUGGUGGGGUAGUGGCUUACCAAGGCUUUGAAGGGUAGCCGGCCUGAGAGGGUGACCGGCCACAUUGGGACUGAGAUACGGACCAGACUCCUACGGGAGGCAGCAGUGGGGAAUAUUGCACAGUGGGCGGAAGCCUGAUGCAGCAACGCCGCGUGCGGGAUGACGGCCUUCGGGUUGUAAACCGCUUUCGCCUGUGACGAAGCGUGAGUGACGGUAAUGGGUAAAGAAGCACCGGCUAACUACGUG